rnacentral:rRNA from 1 species
GAUGAACGCUAGCGGGAGGCUUAACACAUGCAAGUCGAGGGGCAGCAUAGGGUAGCAAUACUCUGAUGGCGACCGGCAAACGGGUGAGUAACGCGUAUGCAACCUACCCUGUACAGGGGGAUAACCCGGAGAAAUUCGGACUAAUAUCCCGUAAUAAUAUCCGGAGGCAUCUUUGGAUAUUUAAAGUUCCGACGGUACGGGAUGGGCAUGCGUAACAUUAGCUGGUUGGUAAGGUAACGGCUUACCAAGGCUAUGAUGUUUAGGGGUCCUGAGAGGGUGGUCCCCCACACUGGUACUGAGACACGGACCAGACUCCUACGGGAGGCAGCAGUGAGGAAUAUUGGUCAAUGGGCGCAAGCCUGAACCAGCCAUCCCGCGUGCAGGAAGACGGCCCUAUGGGUUGUAAACUGCUUUUCCAGGGAGAGAAACUUACGCACGUGUUGCGUGACUGACGGUACCCUGGGAAUAAGCAUCGGCUAACUCCGUGCCAGCAGCCGCGGUAAUCUCGUCUCU